AGGUAAAAAGAGAAAACUUUAAGAUCUAAUCCAGAGUACCACGAGACACGUGAAACCUUGUGGGAAGCAGGGAGGACCACCUCCCAAGGCUAAAUACUACCUAGUGACCGAUAGUGAAGCAGUACCGUGAGGGAAAGGUGAAAAGAACCCCGGAAGGGGAGUGAAAUAGAACCUGAAACCGUGUGCCUACAACCGAUCGGAGCACGUUAAAGUGUGACGAUGUGCUUUUUGUAGAACGAGCCAGCGAGUUACACUAUGUAGCAAGGUUAAGUACUUAAGGUAUGGAGCCGAAGGGAAACCGAGUCUGAAAAGGGCGAAAAGUUGCAUGGUGUAGACCCGAAACCGGGUGACCUAUCCAUGGCCAGGUUGAAGCGAGAGUA
rnacentral:rRNA from 1 species